GGAAAACAAUUAUGGAAUUUUAUGUUGAAGAGCCCGAUGAACAACUGUUUUAGUGAAUACUUUUUUCACAGAUUUUGUUUCUAGUGCUGACAUAUGUACAGACAGAAUUUUUUUUACAUGUUUGUGUGAGGAACUUUUGUUUUUAUAUAUAUAAUAAUGUUAUCUCUGAUAAGGUAUUCGUUUUUGCAGAAAUAUUAAGAUAUUAACAUUAUUUUAUGAAUAGAGAUAAAUUUGUCCCUACCCAAUAUUUUUGUGUGUGUGUGUCUUGCAAAAUUUAAAGUCAAUAUUUAUUCCAUUUGCAUUAAUGCUUUCUUGUACGUUUUAGAGUAUAACAGAUGUACUGAAUUUAUUCAUUAUUGAAUGAUUUGAAACAUCAUGUUACUGAGGUACUGAAAUUGUUUUGUUAUUGAAAUUAAAAGUGCUAAUCUAUU
rnacentral:misc_RNA from 1 species